UCCCUGGUGGUCCAGUGGCUAAGACUCUAUUGUCCCAAUGCAGGGGGCCCAGGUUCGAUCCUUGGUCAGGGAA
rnacentral:tRNA from 1 species